rnacentral:rRNA from 1 species
CCUACGGGUGGCAGCAGUGGGGAAUAUUGCACAAUGGGCGAAAGCCUGACGCAGCGACGCCGCGUGAGGGAUGAAGGUCUUCGGAUCGUAACCCUCUGUCAGCGGGGAAGAACGGUCACUGUGCUAAUCAUCCGUUAAUUGACGUUACCUGCAGAGGAAGCACCGGCUAACUCCGUGCCAGCAGCCGCGGUAAUACGGAGGGUGCGAGCGUUAAUCGGAAUUACUGGGCGUAAGGCGCUCGUAGGCGGUAUGUCAAGUCAAGGGUGAAAUCCCCGCGCUCAACGUGGGAACUGCCUUUGAAACUGGCAAACGUGAGUGUGGGAGAGGAUAGUGGAAUUCCAGGUGUAGGAGUGAAAUCCGUAGAGAUCUGGAGGAAUAUCAGUGGCGAAGGCGACUAUCUGGCAGAGAACUGACGCUGAGGAGCGAAAGCGUGGGUAGCAAACAGGAUUAGAUACCCGGGUAGUC